UUCAUUUAUGCCGUAGGCAGUUUGUGGUCACCAUGCCCAUGCGCGUAUGGCUGCUUCUCUGCUUUCUCGCCGUUGGCAUUCAGGCGUACCACGUUGGUUCUUCUAGCUCUUCGGAUGACGUAAACCCACCAACAAAACACGGUGUAAAAAAGUUAUCCUUGGCUAGCGCUUUUUUUAGCUUAGCCUCGAUCAUAAAAAAUGCUCUACUCGUCAUAAUGAGCGGAAAGAAAAUACAUGAAGAAGGAGCGGGAUAAUAAAUGGAGAGCAUUCUGGUAAGAACUUCGUGAAUUUUUGCUAAGAUGUUAAAUAGAAUUAUAAUUUUGCCCAAUUUCCAAAAAGCUAAACUAGUAAUUUUAAUUAUUAUGUCGUUAACGUUGUUAUACAAGAAAUAAUCAUAUACGAAUAUGUAUCAUAUGUCUUUCGAUGUUUGUUGAUCAUAUAUGUCUUUAUUUUCUUUCUAAAUAUGUAAGUAAGUAGUGAGGUUGAUUAAUUUUCAAAAGCGAACCUUACUUAUGUACUUUAACCUAAAAAUUUACCUUGUAGCUUUGCUUUGACCUGCAGUAGCUAACUUAUUUUUUAAUAUUUUUUUUGUUAUACAACAUAUUAUACUUGGUCAAGCAGAUCUUGUCAGUAGAAAAAGGCGGCAAAUUUGAAAAAUGUAGGCGCGAAGGGAUAUCGUCCCAUAGAAAAUUUGAAUUUCGCGCCUUUUUUUACUGACAAGAUUUGCUUGACCGUCUAUACCAUCGCAAUACAGCCGAGCGGGGAAAUGCUGCCAGUGUCCUCGGCACCAUGCCAAACGUAUUUUAAUUUUAUUUAGUAUUAGUUUUAAUUUGGUUUAAUUUUAUAGAUAAGUUAGUUUAUUUUUCUUUUAAUUGUAUCUACCAUCUACCUGAAACUGAAAAUAAAUUAUUAUAAUAAUUAG